rnacentral:rRNA from 1 species
GACGAACGCUGGCGGCGUGCUUAACACAUGCAAGUCGAACGGAAAGGCCCUGCUUGCAGGGUACUCGAGUGGCGAACGGGUGAGUAACACGUGGGUGAUCUGCCCUGCACUUCGGGAUAAGCCUGGGAAACUGGGUCUAAUACCGGCUAGGAGCCAUUUUUAGUGUGAUGGUUGGAAAGUUUUUUCGGUGUAGGAUGAGCUCGCGGCCUAUCAGCUUGUUGGUGGGGUAAUGGGCUACCAAGGCGGCGACGGGUAGCCGGCCUGAGAGGGUGGACGGCCACAUUGGGACUGAGAUAAGGCCCAGACUCCUACGGGAGGCAGCAGUGGGGAAGAUUGAACAAUGGGCGCAAGCCUGAUGCAGCGACGCCGCGUGGGGGAUGACGGCCUUCGGGUUGUAAAAUCCAUUCGCUAGGGACGAAGCUUUUUGUGUCGGUACCUAGAUAAGAAGCACCGGCUAACUACGUG